UACAUGGGGUGCAAACGUUGCUCGGAAUUAUUGGGCGUAAAGCGCACGUAGGCGGUUUGUUAAGUCGGAUGUGAAAUCCCUCGGCUCAACUGAGGAAGUGCAUCCGAAACUGGCAAGCUUGAGUACGAAAGAGGGUCGCGGAAUUCCCGGUGUAGAGGUGAAAUUCGUAGAUAUCGGGAGGAACACCGGUGGCGAAGGCGGCGACCUGGGUCGAUACUGACGCUGAGGUGCGAAAGCGUGGGGAGCAAACAGG
rnacentral:rRNA from 2 species